rnacentral:misc_RNA from 1 species
UAACUGUGAUUGAGCUUCUUUUGGAUGUAGUUAUUAGCUUUGUGCCUCCCUCAAAAGAUGAUGCGGUGAUAGAUGUGCCACAGGAUGUGCCAUCAUCAACUGACAUGGAUGUUGAUGUUGCUGCAAUCAAGGGGAAAGGAAAGGCCAUAGUCACUGUUCCUGAGGAGAAUGCAGCCAGUAGCCAGGAAGCUUCUGCAUUGCUUGCAAAGGUUGUAUUUAUUCUGAAGCUUUUGACAGAGAUUGUGUUAAUGUAUUCUUCAUCUGUUCAUGUGCUACUGAGAAGAGACGCAGAAGUUAGUAGUUGCAGGGCUCCUCAUCAAAAGGGCUCUUCUGGUUUGUGCACUGGGGGAAUAUUUAACCAUAUUCUUGACAAGUUUAUUCCUUAUUCUCGAAAUUUGAAAAAAGAAAAGAAAUUAGAUGGUGACUGGAGACAUAAACUGGCAACCAGGGCAGGCCAGUUUUUGGUGGCAUCUUGUGUUCGCUCAACUGAGGCAAGAAAGAGGGUGUUUACAGAGAUCAGUUACAUUUUCAGCGACUUUGUUGAUUCAUGCAAUGGCUUUAGGCCACCGACUAAUGAUAUACAUACGUAUAUUGAUCUUCUCAAUGAUGUACUGGCUGCCCGUACACCUACUGGUUCUUACGUCUCCCCGGAAGCUUCUGCCACUUUUAUAGAUGUUGGUCUGGUUAAGUCCUUGACUCGAACCCUUGAAGUGUUGGAUCUGGAUCAUAUUGACUCGCCUAAAGUUGUAACUGGGCUUAUCAAAGCUCUGGAGUUGGUGACAAAAGAACAUGUUAACACCGCUGAUUCUAAUACUGGGAAGAAUGAGAAUUCAACAAAACCUCCUGUUCANNNAGAGCAGAGAAUAUUGUUGAUAUGUCCCAGUCCACAGAAAUUGUGCCUCAAUCCAACCAUGAUUCUGUGUCAGACCAUGUUGAGUCAUUUAAUGGUGUGCAAAA